rnacentral:rRNA from 1 species
CCUACGGGAGGCUGCAGUGGGGAAUAUUGGACAAUGGGGGGAACCCUGAUCCAGCCAUGCCGCGUGUGUGAAGAAGGCCCUCGGGUUAUAAAGCACUUUCAGUGAGGAAGAACGCCUGGUGGUUAAUACCCAUCAGGAAAGACAUCACUCACAGAAGAAGCACCGGCUAACUCCGUGCCAGCAGCCGCGGUAAUACGGAGGGUGCGAGCGUUAAUCGGAAUUACUGGGCGUAAAGCGCGCGUAGGUGGCUUGAUAAGCCGGUUGUGAAAGCCCCGGGCUCAACCUGGGAACGGCAUCCGGAACUGUCGAGCUAGAGUGCAGGAGAGGAAGGUAGAAUUCCCGGUGUAGCGGUGAAAUGCGUAGAGAUCGGGAGGAAUACCAGUGGCGAAGGCGGCCUUCUGGACUGACACUGACACUGAGGUGCGAAAGCGUGGGUAGCAAACAGGAUUAGAUACCCCUGUAGUC